rnacentral:lncRNA from 1 species
UUUUUUUCUCCUGACGUCAUCGAUCCAAAAUCAGCUAGCUGAAUUCCUCAGUCUGGAAACAACCGCGCAGUAGGGAGGACGUAUGGGAAUCGCGCUCUGUGGAUUUCGAGUACCGGGUUCUCUAUCUCAUGGAUCCUGCGCUCCGGGUCCGCUACCUAGCAAAACUAGACUUCCAGGACAAGCGCUCCGUGGUUCCUGCGCUCCAGGUCUACUACCUGGUGAAACUCGACUUCUGGGCAAGCGUUCCGUAGUUUUUGCACUCAAGGUACACUAUCUGAGGAAACUCGACUUCCAGAACAAGCGCUCGGUAGUUUUGACUGUCCAGGUCCUUGACCUGGUGCCGUUUGACCUUCAGGACCGAUUUUCAAGUUUACACGUUUGGUUAUUAGAAACGUCAUGUUCUGUACUAUCAAACCAAUGUUAAAACAAUGGUUAGCGAUAGUUGAAGGUGAUCAAGGUGGACGCGGAGGAGGAAGAGGAGGAGGAAGACGAGGAAGACGAGGAAAACAAGGUGAACAAGGAGGAUGAGGAUUUACGCACGGUAUGACCCGAGGUGGUAAUCGGGGGUUGUCGGAGGUGGUUGGCGGUGGUUGGAAGCGGUCGUAGGUGGACGAGGAGAAGGAUGAGGAAGAUAAGGCGAACAAGGUGGACGAGGAGG